rnacentral:rRNA from 1 species
UACAGGGGGUGCAAACGUUGCUCGGAAUCAUUGGGCGUAAAGCGCACGUAGGCGGUUCGUUAUGUCGGAUGUGAAAGCCCUUGGCUUAACCGAGGAAGUGCAUCCGAAACUGGCGAGCUAGAGUACUAAAGAGGAUCGCGGAAUUCCCGGUGUAGAGGUGAAAUUCGUAGAUAUCGGGAGGAACACCGGUGGCGAAGGCAGCCCCCUGGGCUAACACUGACGCUCAGGCACGAAAGCGUGGGGAGCAAACGAG